rnacentral:rRNA from 1 species
UGGGGAAUAUUGGGCAAUGGGCGCAAGCCUGACCCAGCAACGCCGCGUGAGGGAAGAAGGCUUUCGGGUUGUAAACCUCUGUCCUUGGGGACGAAAAAAAUGACGGUACCCAAGGAGGAAGCUCCGGCUAACUACGUGCCAGCAGCCGCGGUAAUACGUAGGGAGCGAGCGUUGUCCGGAAUUACUGGGCGUAAAGGGUGCGUAGGCGGCCAGGCAAGUCAGAUGUGAAAUCCCCGGGCUUAACUCGGGAGUUGCAUUUGAAACUGCUUGGCUUGAGUGCAGGAGAGGAAAGCGGAAUUCCUAGUGUAGCGGUGAAAUGCGUAGAUAUGAGGAGGAACACCAGUGGCGAAGGCGGCUUUCUGGACUGUAACUGACGCUGAGGCACGAAAGCGUGGGGAGCAAACA